UGGUCACAUGAGGUACAGUGUGAUGGUGGAACACACUGCAUCCCAAGUGAUCACC
rnacentral:pre_miRNA from 1 species